UACGUAGGGUGCGAGCGUUAAUCGGAAUUACUGGGCGUAAAGCGUGCGCAGGCGGUUCGCCGUGUCCGAUGUGAAAGCCCCGGGCUCAACCUGGGAAUUGCGAUGGAGACUGCAAGGCUUGAAUCUGGCAGAGGGGGGUAGAAUUCCACGUGUAGCAGUGAAAUGCGUAGAGAUGUGGAGGAACACCGAUGGCGAAGGCAGCCCCCUGGGUCAAGAUUGACGCUCAUGCACGAAAGCGUGGGGAGCAAACAGG
rnacentral:rRNA from 1 species